rnacentral:rRNA from 1 species
UUUAAUCCCGUAUAUUCACAAAGGAAGGAACUGCCUUAAGAAAAUAGGUAAAGUUAGAGAUAGGUAGUUGUUAAGGUAAUAGCUUAACUAGCCAAGGAUUCUCUUAGUUGAAACUGAAAAAGGUUGAUCAACCACAUUGGGGAUGAGAAAAUCCCAAAACAACAGGGUACAGCAGUGGAGAAUAUUAGUCAAUAGCCUAACGGCGGAACUGGCAACUUGGAGGAAUGGCCUAGUUUUUUAUCUAUGAUUUCAAAACUUUAAUUAGUUUUUAGGUAAAAAUAAGAUUGAAAAGGUUAAAUCGGGUUUGGCGAAUAAAAUUCUAAAUAUAUUAUUCAUAAUGACAAUAUAUAUUUAUGUCUUGACUAAUUACGUGCCAGCAGUCGCGGUAAUACGUGAGAGACUAGUAUUAUUCAUCAUCAAUAGGUUUAAAGGGUACUUAAACGGAAGAAAUAUCCUAAAAUAGGAACUAUUUCUAUCUAGAGUAUAAUGAAAGAAGGUAGUAAUUACGGAGUUAUCUAAACGAUGAAAUGUUUUGAUACCAGAAGAAAGACAGGUUACGGCGAAAGCACCCUUUUGGAUAAAUACUGACGUUGUAGGACGUAGGCUAAACUCAUGAAGAGGAUUAGUUUCCCUCGUAAUCUUAGCAGUAAAUUAUGAAUGUCAUAAAUUAAAUUAUAUUUUUUAUAAAUGAAAGUGUAAGCAUUUCACCUUAUGAGUAAUGUGGCAACGCAGGAACUGAAAUCACUAGUCCGUUACUGACCCCAGUAGUGAAGUAUGUUGUUUAAUUCGAUUAUCCACGAAAAACCUUACCACAAUUUGAAUAAUUCAUAAAUAUUUUUUCAUUAUGAAUAACAAGUGUUGCACGGCUGUUUUAAGUUAAUGUUGUGAAAUUGUGACUAAGUCAUUAAAUUAACAUGAACCUCAUCUUUAUUUAUAGAAUUUUUUCUUUAUAAUGAGCUUUUAUUAUUUUUUGGUAAUAAAAUAACGGGGACCAAGACAAGUCAUCAUGGCCUUUAUAUUGUGGGCUACAGACGUGCCGCAUCUUUCUAGACAAAGAGAUGCAAAAAUUUAUAUUUAAGCUAAUCUCAAAAAUAGAAUAAAAUUGGAUAAGGAUUGUAGUCUGUAACUCGACUACAUGAAUAAGUAAUUACUAGUAA